rnacentral:rRNA from 1 species
UUGACCUCGGAUCAGGUAGGAGUACCCGCCGAACUUAA